GGGGAAUUUUGGACAAUGGGCGCAAGCCUGAUCCAGCCAUGCCGCGUGCAGGAUGAAGGCCUUCGGGUUGUAAACUGCUUUUGUACGGAACGAAAAGGUGCCUUCUAAUAAAGGGCGCUCAUGACGGUACCGUAAGAAUAAGCACCGGCUAACUACGUGCCAGCAGCCGCGGUAAUACGUAGGGUGCGAGCGUUAAUCGGAAUUACUGGGCGUAAAGCGUGCGCAGGCGGUUUUAUAAGACAGAGGUGAAAUCCCCGGGCUCAACCUGGGAACUGCCUUUGUGACUGCAAGGCUGGAGUGCGGCAGAGGGGGGUGGAAUUCCGCGUGUAGCAGUGAAAUGCGUAGAUAUGCGGAGGAACACCGAUGGCGAAGGCAAUCCCCUGGGCCUGCACUGACGCUCAUGCACGAAAGCGUGGGGAGCAAACA
rnacentral:rRNA from 1 species